UACGGAGGGUGCAAACGUUGUUCGGAAUUACUGGGCGUAAAGCGCGUGUAGGCUGCUCGGAAAGUCGGAUGUGAAAGCCCUGGGCUCAACCUAGGAAGUGCAUUCGAAACUCCCGAGCUGGAGUCCUGGAGAGGAAGGCGGAAUUCUCGGUGUAGAGGUGAAAUUCGUAGAUAUCGAGAGGAACACCGGUGGCGAAGGCGGCCUUCUGGACAGUGACUGACGCUGAGACGCGAAAGCGUGGGGAGCAAACAGG
rnacentral:rRNA from 1 species